CUCAUCCAGAGCAGUGGAGGGACUGGCCCUAUGAAGCUGCGGCAACCCUUGCAAAAGCAAAACGGUGCCAAUUCCGUUAGGUUCUACCUAUAAGAUGAGAGUGGAAAGAUAA
rnacentral:ncRNA from 1 species